AUGACCGAGGCUAACUUGCACUUGUUCUCGCACCAAUUCGUUGAUGGACCAAACCAGCCAAAUCGCAAUGAGGAAACCUUGCUCCAAACAAGUUUUCCUUUUGGGUUUGGGACAACGAUAGUCCAUGACUGGACUCUUACCGAGACAACAAAUUCCAAAGAUACUGUUGUUGCACGUGCACAAGGCGUGCAUGUCGAGGCUGGUUUGACCAAGGAUAAUAGAUGGUACAUGACUCAUAACAUAGAGUUUGAGCAAGGAAGGUUUGCAGGGUCCACCCUUCAGGUGAUUGGCAUAACGGUGGGUUUGGAAAGUGGUCAGUGGUCCAUUGUCGGUGGGACUGGUCAAUUCAUUAUGGCACAAGGUAUAAUAAGUUUCACAAAUCAUGCCGCCUCUACUUGGGAAGAUGGUAUUAAAGAACUUAAUAUCCGUGUGGGUUUUAUCAUAUGCAUGAUUGCAUGCUGA
rnacentral:rRNA from 1 species